rnacentral:rRNA from 1 species
AGUGAACGCUGGCGGUAGGCCUAACACAUGCAAGUCGAACGGCAGCACAGUAAGAGCUUGCUCUUACGGGUGGCGAGUGGCGGACGGGUGAGGAAUACAUCGGAAUCUACUUUUUCGUGGGGGAUAACGUAGGGAAACUUACGCUACUACCGCAUACGACCUACGGGUGAAAGCAGGGGAUCUUCGGACCUUGCGCGAUUGAAUGAGCCGAUGUCGGAUUAGCUAGUUGGCGGGGUAAAGGCCCACCAAGGCGACGAUCCGUAGCUGGUCUGAGAGGAUGAUAAGCCACACUGGAACUGAGACACGGUCCAGACUCCUACGGGAGGCAGCAGUGGGGAAUAUUGGACAAUGGGCGCAAGCCUGAUCCAGCAAUACCGCGUGGGUGAAGAAGGCCUUCGGGUUGUAAAGCCCUUUUGUUGGGAAAGAAAAGCAGCAGGUUAAUACACCGAUGUUCUGACGGUACCCAAAGAAUAAGCACCGGCUAACUUCGUG